CUUCUCUGCUAACAUUGCCAUUAUUUAUCACCCCCCUGGUUUCCCUCUCCUCUCACCUGACCACUUUACUGCCUGGCUACCCUACUUCCUCUCUUCUAAUAUUCCAUCCCUAAUUCUCGGGGACUUCAAUAUUCCCAUUAACCCACCUUUGACCUCAGCAGCCUCUAAACUACUUUCAAUUACUUCCUCCCUUGGCCUAUCGCAGUGGGCUAAUUCUCCUACUCAUGUACCUGGCAAUAAUCUCAACCUGAUUUUCUCUUAUUCAUGUACAGUAUCUAAUAUCUGCAACACUCCAUUUCCUCUAUCUGAU